AGCAGCUGACGAGUCCCAAAUGGGAUGAAACGCGCGUCCUGGAU
rnacentral:hammerhead_ribozyme from 1 species